rnacentral:rRNA from 1 species
UACGUAGGGCGCAAGCGUUGUCCGGAAUUAUUGGGCGUAAAGAGCUCGUAGGCGGCCUGUUGCGUCCGCUGUGAAAACCCGGGGCUUAACCCCGGGCUUGCAGUGGAUACGGGCAGGCUGGAGGCAGGCAGGGGAGAACGGAAUUCCCGGUGUAGCGGUGAAAUGCGCAGAUAUCGGGAGGAACACCGGUGGCGAAGGCGGCUCUCUGGGACGGUACUGACGCUGAGACGCGAAAGCUGGGGGAGCGAACGGG